rnacentral:lncRNA from 1 species
CAAAAAUCUAAGCUGCUUCUCUUUCAUCUCAGCUGGUUCCCAGUGGAAGGCUCGGCUGACAUCUGUCAAUGCUGUAACAAAGUGACAGAAGAAGCAGAUGUCACCGUGGGGCCACUGAUCUUCCUGGACAGGAGGGGUGACCAUGAAGUAGAGCAGUGGGCUUUGCCUUCUGACACCUCAGUGGUGCUGCUGGGCGUAGGCCUGGCUGUGGUGGUGUCCCUGACUCUGACUGCUGUUAUCCUGGUUCUCACCAGGAGGUGUCGCACUGCCUCCC